UACGAAGGGGGCUAGCGUUGCUCGGAAUCACUGGGCGUAAAGCGCACGUAGGCGGCUUUCUAAGUCAGGGGUGAAAUCCUGGAGCUCAACUCCAGAACUGCCUUUGAUACUGGAGAGCGUUGGGUCCGGGAGAGGUGAGUGGAACUCCGAGUGUAGAGGUGAAAUUCGUAGAUAUUCGGAAGAACACCAGUGGCGAAGGCGGCUCACUGGCCCGGUACGUGACGCUGAUGUGCGAAAGCGUGGGGAGCAAACAGG
rnacentral:rRNA from 1 species